rnacentral:lncRNA from 1 species
UGGCUCUUGCAUGAACUUGCGGAGUUUCUCAGAAAAGAGGAAGACGAUGGCCAAAAAAGCAAGAAAAAAGAUGAAGAUGGUCUCGGCCGACUGCCUCGCUCCUCUCUCCCUCUAUUCCCAGGUUCGUAUUCUUCUAAUGAUGGUUGUCAAUCCUUUCUUUCUUUCUUUUUUUUCUUUCUUUUUGGCUCCGUUUGUGGGUUGGCGUUGCUGCUUGGUUUCGUCAGUGUCGGGUGCCUUGGUGUUUCCUUAGCUCCUUUUUCUAGGAAUAAGAGGAACAAUACAUUCAUCUCUUUAUGGUUCAAGGCGAAAAGAUACCUGUGUUCUGUUAAAAAUUGUUCNNNNNNNNNNNNNNNNNNNNNNNNNNNNNNNNNNNNNNNNNNNNNNNNNNNNNNNNNNNNNNNNNNNNNNNNNNNNNNNNNNNNNNNNNNNNNNNNNNNNAUCAAUAAAACCAAAAGGAGCUUCACCGCAGUUAGUGAGAUCGGGGCUCGCUCGAAGGAUGUGUAGCUGGAAUUUCCUAGCUGAAGCACGUCCGAUGAUUCGACUCCUGAAGCUAGGCCUCCUAGACUUUGGUGGCUGAAGUGAAGCUUCGUCGUCAUCCACUUGGAAAAUUUUGAGGCUGCAUCAGAAGUAAAUAGCUUUAUGUAUUGGUAGAACUACUAAAAGUAAUGCGCAAGAUCUUAUGAAUUUGGUUCCAUCCACGAAGUAUGAAGGUCUACGUGCAAGAACGUGCAGGUUUUUGGCCAUUGUAUAGGAAUCGGUGGUUUUUCAUUGCUUCUGUAAAUGUCCGCAAUGAUGGAAAUACAAGUAUUUGCGAGGCACUUAGACGAGCGAUGGCUUCAAUUCAUAUAGCUAUGUCGAUGCCAAAAAAUGACUUACUUUUGAUUAGUAAUAGACAUAGCGAAUAAUAGCAAAUUUUGAUGAAUAAUAAAAAUCAUUAAUGAAUAGAAUACUCGAUGACUUAAAGAGUAUCGAGAACUCACGAUAAAAUUAUCAACAACAAAUAUCAAAUAUCAUGAGAAUUUUCACUGGGUGAGCAUGGGAAUCAAACCAAACUGAAUUGACUAGUUUAUGGAUGAUUUUCAAUUCCUAAAAUUUAAAACCGGCGAUAAUCGAUCCGGUUUCGAGGUUUCAGGUGUAAAUCGGACCGAUAUAUAUAUGUUUUAUUGCCAAAAGGCCGGAGAAGAGAACAAAAACAACAUUCAUAGACACACUUGCAUUUCGCAAGAGUGUUUCAUUCCUUACAGGAGUUCAGAAACAAUGUUCUUUCGAAUCCCUUAUCUGUUUCAAUAUUCCGCUCCCCACUAAGGAGUAGGAAAAAGAAGAAGAAAUCACGCCGGUUCUCAAAUCCACUCAGGAAUUUGCGGACCAAGUGGGCCAGUUUGUAUUUUUCCAAAAUGGGAGUUGGGUUUCCGAUUUCCGAUUUCUGAAUGAAAUCAACCCAUCCUGAAACUCGCUCACUUAACGGUCUGGCCCAUCUGCGAAAAAUCUGCGAAAAAUACUGAAAGAUUCAAAGAGAUUCUCUGUCCCUCCACUCCACUCAACAGUCUCUGCUGGCUCUUGCAUGAACUUGCGGAGUCUCUCAGAAAAGAAGAAGACGAUGGCCAAAAAAGCAAGAAAAAAGAUGAAGAUGGUCUCGGCCGACUGCCUCGCUCCUCUCUCCCUCUAUUCCCAGGUUCGUAUUCUUCUAAUGAUGGUUGUCAAUCCUUUCUUUCUUUCUUUUUUUUCUUUCUUUUUGGCUCCGUUUGUGGGUUGGCGUUGCUGCUUGGUUUCGUCAGUGUCGGGUGCCUUGGUGUUUCCUUAGCUCCUUUUUCUAGGAAUAAGAGGAACAAUACAUUCAUCUCUUUAUGGUUCAAGGCGAAAAGAUACCUGUGUUCUGUUAAAAAUUGUUGAUUUUCUGCCAUUCGGUGAUAAAAAUCAGGUUUUUUUCUAAUUAUUGACAAAGCCCAUCUGCAAAACUUUCUAACCGAGCAUGCUCCUACACGUACCUGUGAAAGCUUAAAUUGAUUUUGUCAUUUUCCUUUUGAGUUCGAUGAAGUUCUUUCCUUUUUUUUCGUUUUCGCGUAUGUGUUAAAUGCCCUUGCAAGCGAUUCUGCUUCCGUUACAAAGAUAAGGAGAAAAUCUCCAUGAACGGGUACCUACUAUUUUUCUAUUUUUCCAAUUAGGGAAAGGAAAUAGUACAGAGAGCUUUCAUUUAUCGACAAUGCGCCUUGCUUAUAAAAUUGCUAUAGCUCCCAAUGUACGUCGAGAUAACAUUCGGAUGUAAUUGUUUGCAGAAACUUAACAUGAUGUAAGGACCAAAUCUCACAACUGAGACCGGAGUUAUGAUUGUUCAGGAUUUGCACAUCAUUUACACGCUUUCUGAAUUCCAAUGGAAGUUGGGAACUUGAGGUCAUGUGCCUCUCCAGGC